CCUUUGCGAGCAUCGAUUGCAGGGCACGUCUGGUGCCAGCCGCCGCGGU
rnacentral:rRNA from 13 species